rnacentral:rRNA from 1 species
UACGGGGGGGGGCAAGCGUUGUUCGGAAUUACUGGGCGUAAAGGGCUCGUAGGCGGCCAACUAAGUCAGACGUGAAAUCCCUCGGCUUAACCGGGGAACUGCGUCUGAUACUGGUUGGCUUGAAUCCGGGAGAGGGAUGUGGAAUUCCAGGUGUAGCGGUGAAAUGCGUAGAUAUCUGGAGGAACACCGGUGGCGAAGGCGGCAUCCUGGACCGGUAUUGACGCUGAAGAGCGAAAGCCAGGGGAGCAAACGGG